ACGCUAGCUACAGGCUUAACACAUGCAAGUCGAGGGCAGCGGGUUGAAAGCUUGCUUUCAAUGCCGGCGACCGGCGCACGGGUGCGUAACGCGUAUCAAACCUGCCUCAUACUCGGGGAUAGCCUUGCGAAAGUAAGAUUAAUACCCGAUGUUGUUGCUUUCUCGCAUGGGAGAGUAACCAAAGAUUUAUCGGUAUGAGAUGGUGAUGCGUCCGAUUAGGUAGUAGGCGGGGUAACGGCCCACCUAGCCUUCGAUCGGUAGGGGUUCUGAGAGGAAGGUCCCCCACACUGGAACUGAGACACGGUCCAGACUCCUACGGGAGGCAGCAGUGAGGAAUAUUGGUCAAUGGGCGAGAGCCUGAACCAGCCAAGUAGCGUGCAGGAUGACGGCCCUCCGGGUUGUAAACUGCUUUUAGUUGGGAAUAAAAAAAGGGACUUGUCCCUUCUUGUAUGUACCUUCAGAAAAAGGACCGGCUAAUUCCGUGCCAGCAGCCGCGGUAAUACGGAAGGUCCAGGCGUUAUCCGGAUUUAUUGGGUUUAAAGGGAGCGUAGGCGGAUUGUUAAGUCAGCGGUUAAAGGGUGUGGCUCAACCAUGCAUUGCCGUUGAAACUGGCGAUCUUGAGUGCAGACAGGGAUGCCGGAAUUCGUGGUGUAGCGGUGAAAUGCUUAGAUAUCACGAAGAACUCCGAUCGCGAAGGCAGGUGUCCGGGCUGCAACUGACGCUGAGGCUCGAAAGUGUGGGUAUCAAACAGGAUUAGAUACCCUGGUAGUCCACACAGUAAACGAUGUAUACUCGCGGUUUGCGAUAGAUUGUAAGCCGCCAAGCGAAAGCAUUAAGUAUACCACCUGGGGAGUACGCCGGCUACGGUGAAACUCAAAGGAAUUGACGGGGGCCCGCACAAGCGGAGGAAC
rnacentral:rRNA from 1 species